rnacentral:rRNA from 1 species
ACUAAGCGUACACGGUGGAUGCCCUGGCAGUCAGAGGCGAUGAAGGACGUGCUAAUCUGCGAUAAGCGUCGGUAAGGUGAUAUGAACCGUUAUAACCGGCGAUUUCCGAAUGGGGAAACCCAGUGUGAUUCGUCACACUAUCAUUAACUGAAUCCAUAGGUUAAUGAGGCGAACCGGGGGAACUGAAACAUCUAAGUACCCCGAGGAAAAGAAAUCAACCGAGAUUCCCCCAGUAGCGGCGAGCGAACGGGGAGCAGCCCAGAGCCUGAAUCAGUGUGUGUGUUAGUGGAAGCGUCUGGAAAGGCGCGCGAUACAGGGUGACAGCCCCGUACACAAAAAUGCACAUGCUGUGAGCUCGAUGAGUAGGGCGGGACACGUGGUAUCCUGUCUGAAUAUGGGGGGACCAUCCUCCAAGGCUAAAUACUCCUGACUGACCGAUAGUGAACCAGUACCGUGAGGGAAAGGCGAAAAGAACCCCGGCGAGGGGAGUGAAAAAGAACCUGAAACCGUGUACGUACAAGCAGUGGGAGCACAGAGCAAUCUGUGUGACUGCGUACCUUUUGUAUAAUGGGUCAGCGACUUAUAUUCUGUAGCAAGGUUAACCGAAUAGGGGAGCCGAAGGGAAACCGAGUCUUAACUGGGCGUUAAGUUGCAGGGUAUAGACCCGAAACCCGGUGAUCUAGCCAUGGGCAGGUUGAAGGUUGGGUAACACUAACUGGAGGACCGAACCGACUAAUGUUGAAAAAUUAGCGGAUGACUUGUGGCUGGGGGUGAAAGGCCAAUCAAACCGGGAGAUAGCUGGUUCUCCCCGAAAGCUAUUUAGGUAGCGCCUCGUGAAUUCAUCUCCGGGGGUAGAGCACUGUUUCGGCAAGGGGGUCAUCCCGACUUACCAACCCGAUGCAAACUGCGAAUACCGGAGAAUGUUAUCACGGGAGACACACGGCGGGUGCUAACGUCCGUCGUGAAGAGGGAAACAACCCAGACCGCCAGCUAAGGUCCCAAAGUCAUGGUUAAGUGGGAAACGAUGUGGGAAGGCCCAGACAGCCAGGAUGUUGGCUUAGAAGCAGCCAUCAUUUAAAGAAAGCGUAAUAGCUCACUGGUCGAGUCGGCCUGCGCGGAAGAUGUAACGGGGCUAAACCAUGCACCGAAGCUGCGGCAGCGACGCUGAUGCGUUGUUGGGUAGGGGAGCGUUCUGUAAGCCUGUGAAGGUGUGCUGUGAGGCAUGCUGGAGGUAUCAGAAGUGCGAAUGCUGACAUAAGUAACGAUAAAGCGGGUGAAAAGCCCGCUCGCCGGAAGACCAAGGGUUCCUGUCCAACGUUAAUCGGGGCAGGGUGAGUCGACCCCUAAGGCGAGGCCGAAAGGCGUAGUCGAUGGGAAACAAGUUAAUAUUCCUGUACUUGGUGUUACUGCGAAGGGGGGACGGAGAAGGCUAUGUUGGCCGGGCGACGGUUGUCCCGGUUUAAGCGUGUAGGCUGGUUUUCCAGGCAAAUCCGGAAAAUCAAGGCUGAGGCGUGAUGACGAGGCACUACGGUGCUGAAGCAACAAAUGCCCUGCUUCCAGGAAAAGCCUCUAAGCAUCAGGUAACAUCAAAUCGUACCCCAAACCGACACAGGUGGUCAGGUAGAGAAUACCAAGGCGCUUGAGAGAACUCGGGUGAAGGAACUAGGCAAAAUGGUGCCGUAACUUCGGGAGAAGGCACGCUGAUAUGUAGGUGAAGUCCCUCGCGGAUGGAGCUGAAAUCAGUCGAAGAUACCAGCUGGCUGCAACUGUUUAUUAAAAACACAGCACUGUGCAAACACGAAAGUGGACGUAUACGGUGUGACGCCUGCCCGGUGCCGGAAGGUUAAUUGAUGGGGUCAGCGCAAGCGAAGCUCUUGAUCGAAGCCCCGGUAAACGGCGGCCGUAACUAUAACGGUCCUAAGGUAGCGAAAUUCCUUGUCGGGUAAGUUCCGACCUGCACGAAUGGCGUAAUGAUGGCCAGGCUGUCUCCACCCGAGACUCAGUGAAAUUGAACUCGCUGUGAAGAUGCAGUGUACCCGCGGCAAGACGGAAAGACCCCGUGAACCUUUACUAUAGCUUGACACUGAACAUUGAGCCUUGAUGUGUAGGAUAGGUGGGAGGCUUUGAAGUGUGGACGCCAGUCUGCAUGGAGCCGGCCUUGAAAUACCACCCUUUAAUGUUUGAUGUUCUAACGUUGACCCGUGAUCCGGGUUGCGGACAGUGUCUGGUGGGUAGUUUGACUGGGGCGGUCUCCUCCUAAAGAGUAACGGAGGAGCACGAAGGUUGGCUAAUCCUGGUCGGACAUCAGGAGGUUAGUGCAAUGGCAUAAGCCAGCUUGACUGCGAGCGUGACGGCGCGAGCAGGUGCGAAAGCAGGUCAUAGUGAUCCGGUGGUUCUGAAUGGAAGGGCCAUCGCUCAACGGAUAAAAGGUACUCCGGGGAUAACAGGCUGAUACCGCCCAAGAGUUCAUAUCGACGGCGGUGUUUGGCACCUCGAUGUCGGCUCAUCACAUCCUGGGGCUGAAGUAGGUCCCAAGGGUAUGGCUGUUCGCCAUUUAAAGUGGUACGCGAGCUGGGUUUAGAACGUCGUGAGACAGUUCGGUCCCUAUCUGCCGUGGGCGCUGGAGAACUGAGGGGGGCUGCUCCUAGUACGAGAGGACCGGAGUGGACGCAUCACUGGUGUUCGGGUUGUCAUGCCAAUGGCACUGCCCGGUAGCUAAAUGCGGAAGAGAUAAGUGCUGAAAGCAUCUAAGCACGAAACUUGCCCCGAGAUGAGUUCUCCCUGACUCCUUGAGAGUCCUGAAGGAACGUUGAAGACGACGACGUUGAUAGGCCGGGUGUGUAAGCGCAGCGAUGCGUUGAGCUAACCGGUACUAAUGAACCGUGAGGCUUAACC